rnacentral:rRNA from 1 species
CCAAUAGCGUAUAUUAAAGUUGCUGCAGUUAAAAAGCUCGUAGUUGAAUUUCGGGACUAAUAUGUCGGUCGUGCCUCGGUACGUACUGGCUUAUUGGUUUCUCCUUUCUGAAGAACCAUGAUGUCAUUUAUUUGGUGUCGUGGGGAAUCAGGACUGUUACUUUGAAAAAAUUAGAGUGUUUAAAGCAGGCUCACGCUUGAAUACAUUAGCAUGGAAUAAU